GACCUUUUCAUUUUCAGCCACAUCGCCUAUAUCAGCGGUGCCGGGUUCGCCCGGCUAUGGCGAUAAAUUGCCGCGUAAAAUAGACGCAGCGGACCCGGGGGCAGUACCCGGCGGCUCCACCAAAAGCCCCGUGAAAGCGGGGCCUCUGACGGGGCCGAACUAGGAUCGACGUGUGUUGAAAGGCGCUGUUUUUGCCCGGGCUGAGUAACCUGUAAAAGGCUCAAAACCACAAGUGCUAACGAUAACGAAGCACUCGCAAUUGCGGCCUAACCCAAGACUUAACGGUCUAGGUUAGUACGACGAAAGCGCGGUUCGGGCCGAACCGGGCAACAGAAUCGGAUACC
rnacentral:tmRNA from 1 species